AACGAACGCUGGCGGCAUGCCUAACACAUGCAAGUCGAACGAGACCUUCGGGUCUAGUGGCGCACGGGUGCGUAACGCGUGGGGACCUGCCCUUAGGUUCGGAAUACCUCCCCGUAAGGGGUGCUAAUACCGGUUAGUGUCUUCGGACCAAAGAUUUAUCGCGUUUGGAUGGGCCCGCGUUGGAUUCGCCGGUUGGUAGGGUAAAAGCCUACCAAGGCGACGAUCCAUAGCUGGUCUGAGAGGAUGAUCAGCCACACUGGAACUAAGACACGGACCAGACUCCUACGGAAGGCUGCAGUAGGGAAUAUUGGACAAGGGACGAAAGCCUGAUCCAGCAAUGCCGCGUGAGUGAUGAAGGCCUUAGGGUUGUAAAGCUCUUUUACCCGGGAUGAUAAUGACAGUACCGGGAGAAUAAGCUCCGGCUAACUCCGUG
rnacentral:rRNA from 1 species